rnacentral:rRNA from 1 species
AGAGACUCAGUGAAAUUGAAUUCCCCGUGAAGAUGCGGGGUUCCUGCGGUCAGACGGAAAGACCCCGUGCACCUUUACUAUAGGUUCACAUUGACAUUGGAUAAUUCAUGUGUAGGAUAGGUGGGAGACUUUGAUCUUGCUUCGCUAGGAGUAAGUUAGUCGUCCUUGAAAUACCACCCUUGGAUUAUUUGAUGUCUAAUCCCUAGCAAUAGGGAGACAUUGUGUGCUGGGUAGUUUGACUGGGGUGGUCGCCUCCAAAAGAGUAACGGAGGCUUCUAAAGGUGCCCUCAACACGGUUGGCAAUCGUGUGCAGAGUGCAAUGGCACAAGGGCGCUUGACUGUGAGACAUACAGGUCGAACAGGUAGGAAACUAGAGCAUAGUGAUCCGGUGGUUCCGCAUGGAAGGGCCAUCGCUCAAAGGAUAAAAGGUACGCCGGGGAUAACAGGCUGAUCUCCCCCAAGAGCUCAUAUCGACGGGGAGGUUUGGCACCUCGAUGUCGGCU